GUAACAGGUCUUUCGGGAUGCUGACGAGUGGCGAACGGGUGAGUAAUACAUCGGAACGUGCCUAGUAGUGGGGGAUAACUACUCGAAAGAGUGGCUAAUACCGCAUGAGAUCUAUGGAUGAAAGCAGGGGACCUUCGGGCCUUGUGCUACUAGAGCGGCCGAUGGCAGAUUAGGUAGUUGGUGGGAUAAAAGCUUACCAAGCCUGCGAUCUGUAGCUGGUCUGAGAGGACGAUCAGCCACACUGGGACUGAGACACGGCCCAGACUCCUACGGGAGGCAGCAGUGGGGAAUUUUGGACAAUGGGGGAAACCCUGAUCCAGCAAUGCCGCGUGCAGGAUGAAGGCCUUCGGGUUGUAAACUGCUUUUGUACGGAACGAAAAGUCUUGGGCUAAUACCCUGGGAUCAUGACGGUACCGUAAGAAUAAGCACCGGCUAACUACGUGCCAG
rnacentral:rRNA from 1 species